UAUUUACCCUCCAAACUGUCAUUAUUCAACUAUGACAAGGUAAAAUUGGUUUUGCAUUCUAUCACUCCUUUAAACAGUAUUUAAACAUCUUGACUUGGUGAAACCCUGGUGAAGCAUCAACCCUUGUACCCUACAGCAUUUCAGCCCAUGGUUUUAGUUAUUUAAAGAUUGAUUGAUUGAUUUUGUAAUAACCCAAACUCUUUCUAUCUGAAUAAACUAAAGAAAUGAACUUUUUGUAGUUUUCUUUUAGGGAACAAUGGGCUUUUAGCAGUUUUAAACAACCCUGAGUUUAGAUCCGAUAUGCAGAAGAGGAGUCAGUGUAACUGAGUCAAGCUCUUAUUUUAAACCUUUUGAAGGUGGCACAGCCUGUUUUUAUGUUGUGUUGUCAAUCACUAGAGAAACAGGUGCCACUGUGGGCAACCCAAAUCCUCUUUAAACCAUCCGCCAAAAUCAGAUUGUUAAAACCCAGUUUCUAUCUGAAUCACACGCAUUAUCACUUGGAAAACGGUUACUGGAUGCUUUGGGCCUUUAAAAAGCAGAGAGCGCCGGAGGAUCCGCUCCGGCAGGCGCAGACGUUGGGCCGGACGCACCGGCUGCCGUAGAGACACUUCUGUUCACAGUGAGCUGAGACACAAACACAGAAACCAAGUCCUGGGAGUGUUGAAUGUGUUUUGUGUGGACCUCAGGAAGAGUAAUAAAAUCCAGUCCAAUACUCACGGAUGUGACACAGCGAGCCGCGCCAUCCCGCGGCGCAGCGGCAGGUGUUGGCUCCCACGCACUCGCCUCCGUUGAGACACGUCUGCAGACAGCUGGCUGGAGGGCGACACAACACUCCACACGUCAGGACACUGUCCCACCCAAGAACAAGCUGACUAUAAAAGGACAGGAGCACACGUUGUUUCUUAUACACCGGCCGCUGUUCUUACAGGGAGGACUGCAGAACGCUGGAGGACAAACAACGAAGAACAAAAACCAUGAGGACACUCGCAAGUACUGGGCCGAACACACCAACCUCCGUUUAGACACACGGGCGAGCAGAGAGCUGGAGAGAGAGAGAGACAAGAGCAUCAGCAUUGAGAGGACAGUUCACACACACACA